rnacentral:rRNA from 1 species
GAACCGCGUGAAGGAUCAUUAAUGAGAGGGGUUUUCGCACCCCGGGGGCUUCGGCCCCCAACUCUUCACCCUAUGUUUACGUACCACUGUUGCUUUGGCGGGCCAGGGGCCUGUUCCCUGCCGGCCGGUGGCCUAGCGGCCCCGGCUCGUUCGUGCCCGCCAGAGGCCCAUCAAACCCGAUUUAUCGUUGAUGUCCGAGUAAAAACACAAUAGUAAAAACUUUCAACAACGGAUCUCUUGGUUCUGGCAUCGAUGAAGAACGCAGCGAAAUGCGAUAAGUAAUGUGAAUUGCAGAAUUCAGUGAAUCAUCGAAUCUUUGAACGCACAUUGCGCCCCUCGGUAUUCCGGGGGGCAUGCCUGUUCGAGCGUCAUUACACCCCUCAAGCUCAGCUUGGUAUUGGGACUCCGCCUUCCGAGGCGUGCCCGAAAGUCAGUGGCGGCCCGGCGUGACUUCGAGCGUAGUAAAUUUUCUCCCGCUUUGGAAGCUCGCGUCGUGACCGGUCAGAACGCCCAAACUUUUCAAUGAUUGACCUCGGAUCAGGUAGGGAUACCCGCUGAACUUAA